GACGUACGCUGGCGGCGUGCUUAACACAUGCAAGUCGAACGAUGAAGCUGGAGCUUGCUCCGGUGGAUUAGUGGCGAACGGGUGAGUAACACGUGAGCAAUCUGCCCUUGACUCUGGGAUAACUGCGGGAAACUGUAGCUAAUACCGGAUACUUUCACUGGAAGGCAUCUUCUGGUGAAGAAAGAAUUUCGGUCAAGGAUGAGCUCGCGGCCUAUCAGCUUGUUGGUGAGGUAACGGCUCACCAAGGCGACGACGGGUAGCCGGCCUGAGAGGGUGACCGGCCACACUGGGACUGAGACACGGCCCAGACUCCUACGGGAGGCAGCAGUGGGGAAUAUUGCACAAUGGGCGCAAGCCUGAUGCAGCAACGCCGCGUGAGGGAUGAAGGCCUUCGGGUUGUAAACCUCUUUUAGCAGGGAAGAAGCGAAAGUGACGGUACCUGCAGAAAAAGCACCGGCUAACUACGUGCCAGCAGCCGCGGUAA
rnacentral:rRNA from 1 species